rnacentral:siRNA from 1 species
AAAGGUAAAGAGAUGAUGUGCUU